UUGGUAUGAUCCGAGCUCAGGCACUAAGCGACUGAGCGAGGGGGCGGGGCAGCUGCUGCCUCCAGUGCGCUGUUGGAGAAACGGAGCCAGGCAGACAGAGGAGAACUGAAGUUUGACCAGUCAGAAUCUUUUCCAGAUGGUCCAGGAAAGCCAGGUGGUCCUAUAAAUCCGGUUACUCCAGGUGGUCCAGGAAUUCCAUGUGGUCCAAUAAGUCCAGUAUCUCCUUUAAAGCAGGUGGACCAGCUGGUCCAGGAGGUCCACUGUCUCCUUUGGGACCACGAGGACCUGGAUUCUGACUGUACCCAAUUGGAGCCACCAGGAAAAGGACACAGAAUUGGAGCCAUGCCAUCAUUGUUUAAAUGCAG